AUACAAUUCUGCCCUCCAAUACAUCUUACUUCCGUUCAUUCUCCUGCGAGAACUGCGUGCCUUGACAUCUGCCUGCCAGCCAUGGACCCCAAGUGUGACUGCGAGAACGGUGCCUCUUGUACCUGUUCAGGCUCCUGCAAAUGCAAGUCAUGCCAAUGUACCUCCUGCAAGAAGACUUGCUGCUCCUGCUGCCCAGAAGGAUGUGCCAAAUGUGCCCAGAACUGUGUCAGCAAGGCCCCCCAGACUGGGAGUUGCAGCUGCUGCCAAUAACAUCCCCAUUUCCCUUUGCCUGUAAAUAGAAGUUGUGCAGAUCUGAAUUUUCACACAGCAUGGAUGUGCUUUCUACUGUUUUUCUACAAAAUUUGUGAAUUAAACUUCAUAAACUUGAUAAAUACCUUUA